CUAGAUUUACCUACUAGAAUAACCACCAUGGCUGCACCCUGCACUGAAAACAAUCACAAACAAGGCACACUGGAAUUGCAUCCUUUUUACCCAAUAUAAAACUUCCGCAGUGCUCUGGACGUCCCGUUCCCAUCAACUCGCGAAGCGUCCAUCGCGCUCCAGUCCCUCUCCCCAGACCGCGAGCCCCGGAAAGGAGGCAUCAGCAAGGAGCUCACGGUUUCCGGUAGCACGCUGUCUGUGAGGUGGAGGGCAGAUGAGGCCCGUAUCCUGCGUGUCACUGUAGGGUCGUUUAUGAACCACCUCUCCCUGGUGAUGGAAACCUUGGAGUUGUUCGGACCACCUCUCCCUGGUGAUAGAAACCAUGGAGUUGUUCGGACCACCUCUCCCUGGUGAUGGAAACCAUGGAGUUGUUCGGACCACCUGUCCCUCAGUGACCACUCACACACUCAGCAGUCUCUGUUCUGCAAUGAACUGCAGAGAACCAAGAGGAGCAGUGUUAUGCUGAACAGAGGGGUCUCUCUGGCCGACAGACCCAGCAGAAGCAUGCUGUACAGAGUGACAUGUCCCACUUUCAAUCCUCUGCUAUUCAAAAUGAAGGAACUGGAUUCUCUUAUACCAAUGCAACAUUUCUGUAGUUGUUGAAUUAGAAUGUGAUUUAGAGCAGUGGGCCUGCAGGUCUAAGACUAAAAAAAAUAAAAGACAACUGACAUUUCCAUAAAGUAAAUAUUUAUGUUUUACAGCGAAGAGAUAUGCAACAAAAUAUGACAGUUGAAGGAGUUGUGCGAAAAUGUUCACGUAGAUAGAUGACUAAGGAUUUUUGCUCAUUGGUUGUUGGCAUGAAAGAGUCAAUUCAUUUCUGUUACUAGAACACACAGCAACACUAGUGGAUGGUGUAGAAUAGGAAGGCAGAUUUAAGACAAUGGAAUAGAAAAAAAACUAGGAGAGAGGUGAUCAGUAGGACCAAAGAGGGGCACGGCCCACUGUUAGGGCAGAGGACAUGGGGUCCAGUCCCAAACCCUCCCCUCUUUCCCUAGACACUUCUAGAUAGCCUCCUGGUAGACCUGAGAAGUAGUGUAAGCAAUAUGGCCAACUACUAUUUCACUAGAACCACACUGCUUACACAAAUCAGAUCAUUUUUGAUCUAUUAGGAGCCUUGAGGGGGCUAGGGUUUAAACUUGAGACAGGCCCAUAGUGACUGCUCAUCUCAUGUCUUCAUUCCAUAAAAUGUAUGACCAGCCUCUACAGGGAUACAGUUGUGUAGUAUGGAUAACAAGAUAAGAAAUGUACUGAACUAACCAGUAUAAAAGAACAGAACCGAUGUUGCUGUUGGGUCGAGAGAAUGUCAGUGCACACCGUCAUAUUUUGACUGCACACAGUUACCUUCACUGCAUCUGGUUAGUUUAGCACCCUCUACACAACUGUUUAAAA